UACGUAGGGUGCAAGCGUUAUCCGGAAUUAUUGGGCGUAAAGAGCUCGUAGGCGGUUUGUCGCGUCUGCUGUGAAAACUGGGGGCUCAAACCCCCAGCCUGCAGUGGGUACGGGCAGACUAGAGUGCGGUAGGGGAGAUUGGAAUUCCUGGUGUAGCGGUGGAAUGCGCAGAUAUCAGGAGGAACACCGAUGGCGAAGGCAGAUCUCUGGGCCGUAACUGACGCUGAGGAGCGAAAGCAUGGGGGAGCGAACAGG
rnacentral:rRNA from 1 species